AUUGAACGCUGGCGGCAGGCCUAACACAUGCAAGUCGAGCGGAUGAAGGGAGCUUGCUCCUGGAUUCAGCGGCGGACGGGUGAGUAAUGCCUAGGAAUCUGCCUGGUAGUGGGGGAUAACGUCUGGAAACGGGCGCUAAUACUGCAUACGUCCUGAGGGAGAAAGUUGGGGAGCUUCGGACCGCACGCUAUCAGAUGAGCCUAGGUCGGAUUUGCUAGUUGGUGGGGUAAAGGCCUACUAAGGCGACGAUCGGUAAAUGGUCUGGGUGAAUGAUCAUUCACCCUAGAACUUGAACACGGACAAGGGUACUACGGGAGGGCGCAGUGGGGUACGUUGGACAACAGGCGAAAGUCUUAUCCAGUCAUGCCGAGUGUGAUAAGGAAGUCCUGCGAUUGUAAAGACCGUUAAGGUGGGGGGAAGGGCAGUAACUUAAUACCUUGCUGUUUUGACGUUAACAACAGAAUAAGCACCGGCUAACUUCGUG
rnacentral:rRNA from 1 species